rnacentral:lncRNA from 1 species
AUGUGUAUCAUUCCCCUAUGGUUUAUAACCCCUGAGUCUGGGGGUAAUGGCACGGGGACCCACCAGCUUGUCUGCCGCCAUCUGGGGUACAGUGCUGGAAGCGGGGAUACAGGGACAAAUAAGACACAGAUCCUGUUCCUAAAGAGAGAAACACAGAGGAGAGACCCAGAGAGAAGGAGAAGGCCGCAUGAAGAUGGAGCAGAGACUGGAGUUAUUCAGCCAAGUCAAGGAAUGCCUGGAGCACCAGAAGCCGGAAGAGGCAAGGAAGGAUCCUCCCUUAGAGCAUUUGGAAGAGUGUGGCCCUGCCAACACCUUGACUUCAAACUUCUGGCCUCCAUAACUAUGAAAUAAAUUCUUGUUGUUUUAAGCCAC